UAAGUGGGUCUGACUUGUCAGGGCCAUAUUCCUCAUUUCAUUUUGACAGUAAAUAAAUAACCAAUAUUAUUGGCACCAACAAAAAACACAUAUAACACUUCAAAUAACAACAACCAGAUUCAGUAUAGAGCCAGAUUCUGUAUGGAGCUCCUACUCUACAAAUAACACACAAUACAAUGGUGCUCCUGCUCUACAAAUAACUCUACAAGUGGAGUAACUAAUUUACAAGCUCCACAAGCACUAUAUUCUUCAGGAUGGAGCUCCUUCGAUAGCAUUACAAACAGGCAAAUGCACCUGCUCCUGCUCAUAGUCGGGGCUGAGCUAAUAUGGUCGCCCUGUUACAUGAAUCAGCAAAGAAGAAUCAGAAAACUGGAGCCAAUAUAUUAUGAAGAGGCCAUUCAAUAAAAAGGACAAGUUCUUCAGAAUGAUAACACAAAUUCAGCUAGUACAAUGCUUUUAGAAAUUACAAAAAAUAACGAUUACUACAUGGCAGAUGAUCAUGAAGAGUAUAAACACAUCUUAAAUCCUACUUGUAAAAACAGAAUACAUUAGUGCAUGGGAGUUCAGGCAGAAAACAUACUGCCACAGUGUGCCCCUGGUUAGCCCGAAUCAGCACCUCGCCAUACUCCUCCAACAGACUGAACCUCUACUUGUUGUCUCCCCUGACCGCCUACAUGUGAGAAGGCAAUUUUUUUUACUUAAAGCAUCUUAUAAUUCACAACAAGUUCGAGACUGACCCAAUUAAUUUAAUAGCAUAUAGAGAUUUCACAAUCAACGUUCAUGGUGCUAGGCUACUAGCUAUCAAGAUGAAAACAACAUGUAGUAGAUACAUUGUACAAACAGGAAUUCAGCUGAAAUCCUAGGUCACAAACCCGCAACAUCGCAUUAACACUGCAUGUGCAAUGAUUUGGCUAACAAGUGCAAACAACAUGAAACACAUACUGUAGCACAACUAAGAAAAGCACAGGCCAUCGCAAUAAUAUAACCAGUCAAGGGGUGCUCUAAGCAAGCAUAGUUGCACAUGCAAAUUCAACUGUCUAGUUAAAUGCUUUAUAGGUCUUCUAAAUUGCUCGACGGAUAAAAACAACGCAAAAUACUUCAUGAAAGCACGAAAUCAUUACAUUGUACUAGUACUGAAACAGAAACAGGAACAAAUCGAGCAUCGGCUCCAACGCAGAUCGGGAAAAUAGAAAUACAGUAUCAAAAAUAAACUACUAGAAUACAUAGAAAUUCCAUGCAGAUGAGUAAUUCCAUAAUACGGUUUCUUUUUUUGAAGAGUUGCAUAUCACAAUAAAAAUAGAUACAAUGUUUAAUUGCCCGAGGCCAGAACAAUAUAGUAAAGAACACAGAACAUACAAGGCAUGCAUACAUUAUUAAUUAAAAGAGAGGAUCUAUCAAUAAGGAUGAGUAAACCCAUGCAUUCCUUACAUAUGAGAGCAUUAGAAUACAGUUAACAAAUGCACUUUCACCGUCAAAUAUGAAGUAAUACAACUAAUCAUAGUUCAAAUGGUUGGGAUGUAACUCAUAUCUCUACACAGGUCACAUACUAGCACAGAUCUUAAACGAGCUGAGUUAAGGAAAAAUUAAUGACUGAAAUAAUUCUAACAGCAAGCUGGUUAUGCAGUGCAGCCUUCCAGUUACCAUUGCAUACACAACUAAUAAUGUUACCAUCAAACUUCCACAUAAAUGACAAGUCAAACAUGCUGAUGGACAACAGAAUUUAGCUCAUACAAUGCAAAACUACUGCACACAAAACCACAGUUUGGAUCUAUCUAGCAAACCAUUUUAAGAACAAAUCACAUCAAGACAUGGACAGUAAAGGCAAUCAUUUUAGAAGGCUUGGACUGCAUAUACAAGUUGAUCAUGGAACUAACACAGUUUAGCUUAUGCAGUUCAAGAAUUAUACUCCCUCCGUCCCAAAAUAAGUGACUCAACUUUGUACUAACUUUGUACUAAAGCUAGUACAAAGUUGAGUCACUUAUUUUGGGACGGAGGGAGUACUUGACAUUGGAAUGCUAGCACGUGGAAAUUGGAAGAACUGAAACUGCAUCCACUGGGCAGAACCAUCUGUGCAUGGCUGUUGCAGCGGAAAAAGACUGCCUGAGUCAACCUAUUAUUUUUCUUCGGAUGAGGAUGAUCUACAAAAAUGAGUAAGAUAUUAUUGGCAUCAGCUGAACUAGCAGUAGUGCAUCUAACUGAGAUACGGAGAAAGACAUGUAAAGGCUGAGACAAAGUAGCUACUGGCCUGCUACAUCAAGGAAUCCCUCUCUAUCUCUCUGCUUGCAUGUUUUCAAGCACACGAGGGAAAACUAACAAGCUACCAGUACAAACCUAAUAAAUAACAAACAGAGGAAUUAGAACUAGAGCAUGGACCAGUAGAUCAACACGAGGAGGCAGAUUCGACCAAAUCCACAUAAACACAUCCAUACACAUACCAGGAUAACUGGAUAGUGGCCAAUUGGUUAGAUCAGGAGCAACAGUACAUAUUUCCCUAAACUUAACAUUACCAUAGUGUGUAAAUCAUGCCACUGGUCAGAGCACAACACCACAAUCACAAGUCCAAGGCCACCAGAUGAUUAGCAGUCGCUCGACUAAUCGACUAUUCACUAUUGGAGUAAUGAUUACCAAGUUAUCUGUCACAUCUUGUUGUUGGCAACAUCACACAAGAAUAGGAGCGUCAUCGUCCACCUCGCCCUUGAGGUCAAGCAGCUCGAAGAUGAGGCUCCACGUCACGUGCACAGCU
rnacentral:lncRNA from 1 species